rnacentral:rRNA from 1 species
GGUAAAGAUGAGUAUGCGCUCUAUUAGCUAGAUGGUAAGGUAACGGCUUACCAUGGCAACGAUAGAUAGGGGCCCUGAGAGGGNGAUCCCCNNCACUGGUACUGAGACACGGACCAGACUCCUACGGGAGGCAGCAGUGAGGAAUAUUGGACAAUGGGCGAGAGCCUGAUCCAGCCAUGCCGCGUGCAGGAAGACUGCCCUAUGGGUUGUAAACUGCUUUUAUACAGGAAGAAACCCACCUACGUGUAGGUGGNUGACGGUACUGUAAGAAUAAGGANCGC